UACGCUGGCGGCACGCCUAACACAUGCAAGUCGAACGAAGUAGCAAUACUUAGUGGCAGACGGGUGAGUAACAUGUAGGUAUCUGCCCUUUGGCCUGGAAUAACACGAGGAAACUUGUGCUAAUACCGGAUAAGUCUUUACGGAGAAAGCUUUAUGCACCAUUGGAUGAGCCUGCACUUGAUUAGUUUGUUGGUGGGGUAAUGGCCUACCAAGACUGUGAUCAAUAGCUGAUUUGAGAGGAUGAUCAGCCACAUUGGGACUGAGACACGGCCCAAACUCCUACGGGAGGCAGCAGUGGGGAAUCUUGCACAAUGGAGGAAACUCUGAUGCAGCGAUGCCGCGUGAGUGAAGAAGGCCCUUGGGUUGUAAAGCUCUUUCGUCGGGGAAG
rnacentral:rRNA from 1 species